UAAAAUGAUUGGAGGAAUGUGGCUUCGACUUCGGUUGAAGUGUUAUAGACUCUGGUAGAUGUGAUGGUUGAGACCGAGGAUUGCAACGGAUGCCCUUAAGGGCUAUCCGCCUGGCCUCUGAUUUGUUGCUUUGGCUUCGAAAGCUUGCUUACGAGGUUAAAGUUUGCGGUCAAUAGGUUAGAACGGAUUAAAUUCGUUAAGGAUGUUGACGUA
rnacentral:rRNA from 1 species